UGUUAAUUGUUGUUGUUAAAUCAAAAACCAUAGUUACUACACUUUUGCUAUAAUAAAACCAUUUUUAUACAUUUUUAUGAAGGUCUGUCCAUUUAGAACAAAAUGUGCAUGCAUGUUUAUGUAGAAAUAAUUGAACACACCCCCGGAUAAGGAUCUUAAAAGCUAUGCUUUAAAGCACAACAUUUCUGUUUAUUUUAAUACAAUAAAUAUUUAAUGUUAAACAAGUUCUAAUUUUCAGUCCGUCUGAACGCAGUGCUUCGCUAUGAGAAGCACUUUCUUUACCAUCUUUAUUGUUUUUUAACAUGUUGUCUUUUGUUAUGUGUUAUUAGGCAUGUUCGACUUCAUGAAGCGCUGCGAGAACCCACAUCAUACGUUGAUGACGUCAACGUAUCGCGAGACUGAGUCGAGAAAUUACACGUAGAGGUCUAAUUUCGAAUCGCUCUCGCGGUACAUUGACGUCAUCAUCCUGUCAGCGCCGCAUGAAGUCGAACACACCUAUUAUUUGCGGGCACGCGCCUCCGUCCUCGUGAGUUCAAAAAACUGAAUUUAACCGAUGUUUACCUCAGACGACAGUUUUCGUUUCUGUGAUAAAUUCUGAGGUAAUUUUCUUGUUGUGUUUGAUGUUUUCCAUUGGCUGAAGAAUGCUGUGACAAAAAAGCAACCAGGACACCACAUCUGCAGUGACAGAGAGCAGGAUGGGGGAGGAAUCAGAAGGACCAGAAGAUAAUAUCAACUGGUGCCCCUGAGGAGAUUCACAUUGUUCUGUUUCUUUUGUUUAGUAAUAAGUGGUUUUAUGUGAUUUUGUAAAAUAAAAGAAAUUUAGUAUUCAAUCCACAUGUUUUGCACAUAAUUUUCUAUAUUUUACUUCCAUGUAUUUACAGCCAGGGUGCCUAUUUAUUGCCCAAUGUGCCCACACGUUGCCCACAGUUAGCCCAAACUUUGCCCAGUGUGCCCACAUUAAACCCACACUUUGUCCACAGUAAGCCCACACUUUGCCCAGUGUACCCACAGUUAGCCCACACUUUGCCCACAGCCCACACUUUGCUCAAUGUGCCCACAGUUAGCCCACACUUUGCCCAAUGUGCCCACAGUAAGCCCACAGUUAGGCCAUAAU